rnacentral:misc_RNA from 1 species
AUCAAACUAAAUUGGGGCUAAAUAGGUCAUAUGUACAUUAGGACACAAUUUUGUUAUCUGUUAUAUCAAAUUUUGAAAUUAUUGAUCAAAAGUUGUUUUCCAUGUGAUGAGAUGCAAAUUUAGUGUGAAGUUUAGGUCUUUAGUUAAUUGUAAAGAAAAGUUCAAAAAUGUAACCUAUAGGAAUCAUAAGAGAUAAGAUAUCGGAUUCAUUUGUUAUCUAUUGAAAAAGUUUAUGCGCUGAGAUUUAACUAUACUCAUUGUUGUUGUAGUAGUUGAUAUGAGAAUAAUUGUUUUGUUAUUGAUAAGAAUCAAUACUGAUUUGUUAUAUAUUAAUUUUAUUCUCUUAUACCAUUAGGCUUAGGGAAAAUACAAUUUUUAGAUUCAAAUCCUAGAAUCCCAUCAAAAACACCAUAACCUGCAAGUAAAAAAGCUUUAAACCAUGUGUUCUUUUUUGAUUAUAUAUCAUUGGUCAAUAUCUGGAAAUCAUGUUUUGAAGCUAUUGUCAGGCAAGUGUGCUAAUUAGGGGCUUGCAGAUAAUAAGUUGGUGCUUUUAGCAACAUGCAUGGAUAAUAAGAGGAUACCUUUCAUAUGCUAUUCAUGCUUAUCUUUAAGCUUUGUUAGAUGGAAAAGAGAAGUGUGAAUCCCAGAUGGUCAGCAACAGACUUUUCUCUUAUUCUCCAUCAUUUUAGCAUUUUUAAUGAAGCAUCAUGUUCAAAGUUUUUGUAUACAUGUAAUAUGGUAUUAUUCAAUAUGUUGAGAACAUAAUUGUUGUCCACAUCUUUUGGAGUUUAUUAGUGGUAUGGUCAUGUUUUGAAACUCUGUUGGCAACUUGAGAUUUAAAUGAUGAAUUGAAAUCCUAAUUUUAUGAAUCAAUUCAAAUUGUGAGACUCGAUGCAAUUUUGAUUGCUACUCUCUAAAGGCAUCCACAAGAUGUAGUUUUAUGUAAGGUUAGUAAUCUACUGAUUUGCAUUUUAAAUUUUAAUUAAAUUGUUUUUGCGUGUUUGCGGUUCAAAAACAAGUGAUGGCUCAAGGCGUGACAUAAAAGAACCUGGAAUUCGAAUUACUGAGCCAACAGGUCCUCAAAUUCAUCAAAUUCAUCCUUCAGGAAUUAUAUAUCCUCCUGUAAAUCCAGUUGGUGGUAGUGAUCUUUUUCCUGGUCCUGGUGGUGGAAUGUAUCCAAUGAGGGGUGGCUUUGGCACUGGUGGGAGCAUGCUUCUAGGGCCUAAUGAUCCUCAUUGGUUUGGUGGAGAGUCAAAUUUUCCUGGUGGACAACCGGGUGUUCCUCCAGGUGCUCGUUUUGAUCCCUAUGGUCCACCUGGGGUUCCUGGUUUUGAGCCUAACCGAUUUGUUAGAAACCCACGCAGGCCUGGAAGGGACACUCAUCCAGACCUCGAGCAUUUCAGGAGUGAUUCGGAUUUCAUUUAACAUGUUUCUUGAAACUUUGCAUUUUCCCCUUGUUCUGCUUUUGUAUAAACGUUUGUUAGAUGAAAGUUUGCCAGUAUAUCGGUUUGUCUACAACGUUUUUGUAGCUAGUCUACAAGUCACAAGGCAUUGUAUAUAUUGAUGGACUAGGAAUUUCGGCAUGCUGAUGGGUUUUAUGAGUAAUAAUCCUAAGAGCCCUAUUUCUGGUAAAUAAUAAGUUAUACCAUCAUAUUUUCUGUACGUAAUUUGCUGUGCUUGUGUAGAAUGGAUGGCCAAAUCUAACUUUUAUGUACUUUGAGCUCCAGCACCGAGUUAUUAAGUCAUUAGGGGUGGACUUGGGAAUGGCAAUGGAGCAGGGGCAGGGAGUUCGUCCCCACCCUCCGCAUUUUCUCUCCACACCAGCCCUAUGCUGUCUAUAGGGGACGAAUUUUCCGCAUAUCUUGU